CCAAACAGAGUGCAAGUGACAUUUGAAUUGACUUUGCUAAAAUAUUACUGAUCAACUGAACCUCUCAUUUCACACCAUUGAGCAAACUUUGUUGGCAAUGUCCACAAUUGCUUAAAAUUUUUCAGAUUUAAGAGUUGAUGAAGAAUUUUAUGAGUUUAUUGUAUCAAAGCAAGAGGGGCUUAGAUGCCGGUGUCUAAAAGCAAUC
rnacentral:lncRNA from 1 species